rnacentral:rRNA from 1 species
UACGUAGGGGGCAAGCGUUGUCCGGAAUCAUUGGGCGUAAAGCGCGUGUAGGCGGUCCGGUAAGUCGGUUGUGAAAGUCCAGGGCUCAACCCUGGGAUGCCGAUCGAUACUGCCGGACUAGAGUCCGGAAGAGGCGAGUGGAAUUCCCGGUGUAGCGGUGAAAUGCGCAGAUAUCAGGAGGAACACCAAUUGCGAAGGCAGCUCGCUGGGACGUUACUGACGCUGAGACGCGAAAGCGUGGGGAGCAAACAGG